CAGGUAGGGAUACCCACUGAACU
rnacentral:rRNA from 1 species